rnacentral:rRNA from 1 species
GUGUCAGCAGCCGCGGUAAUACGGAGGGUGCGAGCGUUGUCCGGAUUUAUUGGGUUUAAAGGGUGCGUAGGUGGCUGUUUAAGUCAGUGGUGAAAUACGGUUGCUCAACAAUCGAGGUGCCAUUGAUACUGAAUAGCUUGAAAUAAUUGGAGGCUGCCGGAAUGGAUGGUGUAGCGGUGAAAUGCAUAGAUAUCAUCCAGAACACCGAUUGCGAAGGCAGGUGGCUACGAUUGGUUUGACACUGAGGCACGAAAGCAUGGGGAGCAAACAGGAUUAGAUACCCUGGUAGUCCAUGCUGUAAACGAUGAGGACUCGUUGUUUGACGGUAACGUUGAGCGACUUAGGGAAACCGUUAAGUCCUCCACCUGGGGAGUACGCCGGCAACGGUGAA